UAGGUUAAAACCCUAACUUGAAAAUCCCAAUAAAACUAGUUUAUUAUCAUAAAAAUCAAUGAUUUAUUCAAUAAACAAAUCUGAAAAUUCAUCCUUUAAUAAUUAAAACAACCCUAAUGAAUCACAACACGCAAAUCCUCAAACCACGGUAUUCAUAACCGGUUCCCAGCAUUUUAAUUACUCAAAACAAUAUUAAUAUUAUAAUUUAAAAUACGAAAUUUAAAUAGAAUAGGAAUAGAAGAAGAGAAUUAUACCAAUCCGGCCUAUAGCACGAAACAACCACGAAUUAUAGUGAUUGGGAGAAAAAGAAAUUGAAUUACGAACACGAACAACACACACACACACACGCGUGUGUGCGCGCAGGGGCGAAGGGACGCAGCAGCGCUUGCGCGCGGGAUAGGGCACACGACACGCUGGGGCGCGCGCGCGAGAGGAGGGGCAAGAGAGCGGGGGUGUGCGCUGAGCACACGAGCAACAACAAGGCACAGCAGCAGCGCAGGCACGAGGGCACGCUGCGGGCGAGCGACGAGAGGGAGUGCGGGCGCUGGCGCGCGAGGGGCGAGAGAGGGAGUGUUGGGCGCUGGGCGCGGCAGCACACGAGGGCACAAGGGAGAGCAGCAACGACGCAACAGCACGAGGCUCGUGCUUGCGGGCCGAGUGAGCCGGUCGAACAAAGGGAGAGAGAAAGAGGAGUGUUGGGCAAGAAAGAGAGAAAAGGGUUUAUGACAAAAUAGGGGGUCAUUUAAUGAUGAGGAGUCCUAUUUAUAGGCUCCUUAUUGUAAUGGGCUAGGCUUAGGAAAUUAGAAUUGAGCUAGCUUAGGACUUGAAUUAAAAUCUUUUGAUUGGGCUCGUUUAAUAAAACGAAUUGGACUUUUCAUUUAAAACCCGAAGCCUUUAAAUAUCGUUUGCAACUCAUUUAAUUUCCCGACUCAAGAAUUAAAUUCGUUUCGUAAUUAAUUAAAAUAAUAAAUAUUCUAAUUAAUUAAAAUACAUUAAAUAAAAUACAUUUAAAUAUUAUUUAAAUGAUAAUAAAUCGUAAAAUGCUUUAUAAAUAUAAUAAAAUAUACUUAUAAAUAUUAUAAAAUACUAGGUAUUACAAGUUUGUUCAAUUUAAUUAACUGUAUUUUUAUCAUAAUUGAGUAGGAUUUUUGAACUUGAUAAUUGUGGAACUUUUUCUGGGUUUUGAAUGAUAAUGAAUUCGAACGUAAUAGUACCUAGUGCAGCUGAAAGCAAAGGUGAACCUGUAUUCUUGCUCAUUGACACAUGCCAUGAAGCAACUCCAUCAUGUACUUGUGAGGGUCCAACAACAUUUAUCAAAUCGUCAGGAGGAAUUUGCAUUUGCUUUCCUAUCUUCACAGUUCACAUCAUUGACAGGAUCAAGUAGCUCGCGAUACCAAAUUGCAGAAAGGUUUCCUUUUAUUUACUGAUAAUUCCAACGCUAGUGAGAAGAAACCUUGCUCACGUCAUAGGAGGCUGCACUUAUUGAAUAAUUUUCAUGAUCAGAGUAGAUCUAGAAAGUUCUGUUGUUUCUGUGAUCUCUAUGGAAAGCCUGGAUAAACCCAUUUUUACAGUUCAUUGUCAUUGAAUUAAGUUAUUUACGACUCGCAAACAACGUCCACAUUAUAUCCUUUAUCAUUUGAUAUAGUUGCAGGUUACACGAUAACUAAUAAGAAUCCACAAACACAUUAUUUUAGCAGAGAUGGAAAGAAAUAGUUUGUCAGUCAACCUCAACUUGAUUUUCUUGAGUUAUUGGCAAACUGUUGUACUUUUAUAUGAUCUGAUUGACAUGCGCUGUUGUUAUUUCAACGGUGGAGUUGACAAUAUACCACAUUCUUAACAAGGGACGUUGAAGAAGCUCGAAGCGAAGUCCAGAUGCAAGGUCAUCCAAAGAUUUUGUUGUGUAUACGCGCGUAAAGUGCCACGGUGGUCAUAUUCUUGAGUUAUUGAGAAAGAGAAAGAGAAGUAAGAGAUUGAGAAAGAGAAGUAAGAGAUUGAGAAAUGGGAGGACAAAGAUUGAGAAAUAGUAGAAGAGAACAGAGAUUCAGAAAGAGGAAAAAAAGAAAUGGAAUAAAGUCGUUGGGGUGGGAUCCACAAACGGAGAGAUUUAACGUUUUCUGUUACAAGGUAGUGUUACUAAAACAUAUCAAACUUAUAAGCUAGGAAAAUAUAAAAAAGUUUUUAUAAGGUAGUAAUUCACAAAACGUCCAAACAUUAAGGUAGUGUUUCACAAAAUUUCCUUAUAAUAAUGAGAGAACAAAUAUACCUCUUUUGUGAUCUACAAACGCACCACCACCUUAACUAUCCGAAAGGAUGAAUUAUAAUGACCCAAUAACAAAGGAAAAGGGUUAAGAGAGUAAAGAAUAUAAUGAAAAUUCACGUUGUUGAUCUAAACUAGCUUUUGAGCCCGUUCAUAGUUGUAUAGUGGUUGUUAAGAUGUCUUUUGAAGUUUUAAUUAGUGAUUAAUUAUGAUUUUUGGUAAUAUAUAAAUUAAAUAGAGGUGUAAUUUGAAGGUUGGAAAAAUAUAAAAAUUAUAUGUUGAAUAAAUAUUUGGAUGUUAAAGGGGUGGAGUGGAAGAGACUAAUGAGUAUAUUAGACUAUUAAUAACUUGAUGUUGAAUAAGGAAAAUAGAGUGGAAGAGGCAUUAGAAGUUGUAAAUCAUAGAAACAAUAAAGAAAAAUUGAAAAAAAAAACAAAACAAAAUGAUGGAUGAAAGGAGAGAUGCCACAUGGCUUCUAAUAAUCUAUGGUGUUCCUUUUUAAAUACUAGGUAUAGACUAGGUAUAGAUGGUUUUGAUGAUGACAAGCAAAUUUUACUAAUAAAUGUUUAAGUUUCUAUUCAAAGAAAACCAGGAGUACAUUCCAGAGUAGGAACAAGAGAAGGUCAAAGCAUGCAGACUUGGACAAUCAGAGAAACUGAUCAAGCUGGCAUAAUUAAGUUCCUGAAGCUGCCGAAUUUCUGAGGAACAACAAACAUGCAGAGCAUCAUGGAACAUGAAGACGUGAAAGUUCCUGAAGGGAACACUGCCAAGUUACUGAGGAACAACCAACAUGCGGAGCAACAUGGAACAUGAAGACAUCAAAUAAAAGCUUAUUUUCUAGGAUUCAUGUAAGUAUGUAGUAACCUCAAAAAUUAUGCAACAAGGUACUAAUUAAAAGGAACUUGGAGGAAUUGCACGUGAUCUAAAGUAGUAAAAUAAAGUUUCUCUAAUAAGAUUAAUAUUUUCUAAAGAAAGAUUUUAUAAAAUACAAAUAGAAUUUUAUUGUGAAGAAAAAAAAAGAAAAAAAAAAUUAAGUUUUGGAAAACACACCUUGGAUCCUAUUUUACAAAACGUUACUUUUUCCCCAAGGGUUUUAUUAAGUCACGUUUUUCUAUUUCCGCUCUUUCAAAUGGGAAUUCUGUUGAGAAAAUUCAGGCUCGUCGAACCUUGACUCCCACGUUCUCAUCAACUGAAUAGGUAACGGGAACAUGCCUAGAAUCAUGGCAACAUGAAAGUUAGUUGAGGAGAUUAAGGGGGGAGCUGUUAGGAGUUCCAACACUAUAAAAGAGGAUCUUGUCAUUCAUUGUCAUUCUAGUAGGUCUUGUUGUUUAAGAGGAAAAACGUUUUAAAAGAAAUAUGAUUUGUUUUCCACGUGUUUGAGCUAGUCUAUUAAUUCCAAGUUCCUUGAAGUUCUAAGUUCCUCAUUGUUAUUUCAUAUUCUACAUAUUAGAGGGAUAUCAAUCUUUAGAGUUUGUUUUGAGAGUUGGGAAAGGGUUCGAGUGAACUCUUGUAAAGGGGAAUUGCUCAAGGGUUUGAGUGAAUUCUUGUAUCAAGUUUUGGGUAGUUCUUGAUGUGUAUGGGGUAGGAACUUGAGUGAGUUCUUGUUGUAUUUCGGUAGGCCUUGAGCGAAGUCUAUAAGAGAGAAACAAGGAGGCUUUGAGUAAGAGAAACUUCUAGGGAAGUCAGAGAGAGCGUAGUUGUUUGAGGGAACAACUAUUGGGAACUUGAGUUCGUAGAGUAACUCAAGUAAUGCCUCAAUUCCUUAUAGGUUUGUAACAGAGUUGUUUCCCUAUAGUGAUAUGAGUUUGAAUUGAAAUCCUAGUGGGUCUAAGUUUUCUUUCUAGUUGAUCCUAGAAAGCUUCCUUGUAAGAUCUCUCUUGCAUUGUUUCUAUACUUGCUUUUAAGUUCCUUUAUAAUUCCGCAAAAAUUGGCUAGCAAGUUACAUACUACAACUCCCCCCCCCCCCUUAUUUUAGCGUUCUAUCUGAAUAACACACGUACUCUUCAUAUGAGAUAAUAUUUUUGAGGAACUUUAUGUUUAUUCAAUUAUUAUGCUAUUGUAUUAUCUCAUUUUACUAACCUACUAACAUUAAGCUGCACAAAGUGUUUUCUUUGGGUUUGUUUUACGCGGUAUAUACACUAGUAGAAAAAUCGACAUGUGCUUCCCUUCAAGUGCGGCUCAUUUUAGAAAAUUUGCAGCACUUGAGUUCAAGUGCGGGCUUUAAACUCAAGUGCGGCUCAUUUAAAAAUGAGUAGCACAAAUUUUUUCCAAAAAUAGAGACAGCCCACAAUUGAUUUCCCACAAAAAGAAAGCUGUGAUUUUUUUCAUUUUCCCGCUCCUCGUCCUUCCCCUUCUCUGCUUCUACCGCUGCUUCUUCCACCACCGCUGCUGCUUCUGCCAUCGCCACUUUUGAGAUGAAGAACGUAGUUUCGAGGAUAUUCCAUCUUGAGUCGCCCCCAUCCACCCACACAACCAGAAGCUUUGAGUUGCCCUAAUUUGAACAAAUCCUUCAACGAUUAUGCUUAAUUCAAGUUUCCCCGGUGUGGGAUGCUCUUGAAAUUCUUGAUGCUGCUGAUGUUCACCAGAAGCUUCACCUGAUAUAGUUGAAAUUCACUCGGCCAGAGUUGUUCCAAAGCUUGUAGCUGGAAAACCCGAAGGCUGGAAUAGUGAGUGAUUCCUCUGGUUCUGUCGGUGUAUCUUCUGCUUUUUUUGAAGCUCAAGUAAUCCUUAUCUGUCACAGAUAUGUGAGAGUAAUUGAUGUAACAUUUUCUACCAUGUACGAUAUAAAAGAUGCAUAUGCUUGGCCUGAGAGUGUCAAUGGCCUCGUUCAUAUAGGCUAAUGUGUAGGACUUCUCUAACUGAUUUGCGUGACAAUUUUUCAGCUGAUGCAAAUGGUAUUAAGUUCUAAUCUAAUUGCAGUGAAGCAAUAAAUCAUACAUUGAUCGACGUUUGUAGAGGGAACAAGUAUUUUGGAGUGUAUGACGUUGGAUUAACACACUGUGAAGCCUGCAUAUAAGGAAGUUGCUUCUGACACAGAAACAUAUAUGAAGAUUGAGGGAUUUGUCCAGCAGUUUCACAUUUUCUUGCAAAUCUGCUAUUCUUGUUAUACUGUAGGAAUUGGGUAUAUUGCUUGCUGCCUUGCUGCAGAUGAGGGUCUUGCUCAACUAAGUGGUAUGCGGUCGUGGCUUAGGGUGAGACAACAACACUUGGUUUCUCAAGUUGCAUAUCUUUAUCCAAUAAUUUGCUUCAUCUUUUACUUGAGCUCAUCAAUUUUUGAGUCCCCUUCUCGAGAGAAGGAGAAAUGAUAUUCGGUAUUUUCAUGUCUGGAUUCAUACCAGAUUUAUAGGAUCUGUUUAAUUUUUUCUGGGAAAUCUUAAUGCAAUAAAUACUGAUAAAUGUCUUACUCUAUAUGUAUUUAGGGGUCUUGGUCCAAACAAUUUCUCUUGAUCCCUGCCUUUAGAGAUUGGAAACCAUACAAGAUUGGAACAAUUGUAAGUUUCCAACAUGAUGUAUGAAUAAGACUCUUCAAUCUUCAUGGUAGAAAAGUCUGGAAUUCUUUUAAACUGCAUGAUCUUCAAAAUCUUUCAUGGUAGAAAAGUCUGGAAUUCUUUUAAACUUCAUGAUCUUCAAAAUCUUUUUUUCACUCUCCAAGGCUUGUGGUUCUAAUUAUGGAUCUAUCAGUAAUUUCUGAUUCAUGGUGGAGGCAAUAUGUUUCUGUAUUUGUGCUGUAAUACAAGUUUAUUGAUUUCAAGUUUAAUCCAAUGAUAGUUGAACUGCUUUAAGUGGUCUAUUAUCUGAUAUCUAAUAUAUGUCUGGUUCGUGCGAGGGAGUUAGAUAGAGAUUUGUUACAUUUCACGCACUUGUUUCCAACAGUUGGGAUUAAUGGGUUGGCACAGAUUGCGUGAUAAAAAUUUGCUAAGAAAUAGGUAUUUGGGGUUUUUCAUAUUUAGAUUCAUAUCAGAUUUCUAGGUUCAGCUUAAUUGUGCUGAGAUAUCUUAAUACAAUUCAAUUUAGUUUGAAUACGAUCUUUCUAGUUUGAAUUUAAUAUAUGUCAUGUGUCUUAUGCAGUGAUACUUUAUUAAAUUUAAGAUUCUCAUGUGUCUUGUGCAAUAUAUUGCUGUCUUAUUUCAUUGAGUUACACUUAUUUUAUUUGAUCAGAAUUAAGCACUCAACAUAAUCUAUUUAUUAUAUGUAUUACAUAUAACUACAUAGAUAUAACUAUUCUCUAAUCAAUUACCCAUUAUAGUAUAAAUCUAUAACGAAAACAACUAAUUAGGUAGUUUGGAAGUCUAUAAUAUAAGAGAGAAGAGUAGUGCAUAGUUUCAUAUAGCCUGAUAUAGCCUCAAGCUGUUAGUUUUAACUCUAGCACAAGGGUGUUUGAUGCUCAAUUCUCCAGAGUAGGUUAGGUUCAAGUUGCUGAACCUUAGCAAUUUAGUGGAAACACAAGCUUGCAAGUGUAGCAUAUUGAUCUACUCAUUUUGGUGGCACUUACAAAAUCUUAAUUUCAGGUCAUGCUUGUUCUUUCCACUUAUUGCAGGACAUUGUUCAAAGACUUCUGCCUCGAUGCUAAUACGUCACUUGCCACUUUAAGACUUACCAUGGUUGUUUUACCUUGUUUUUAACUAACAUGAUAAUAGCUUAUCUCAUCUUAUUUUUUGAAAUCGCUUGUCUAAAUAGUACUCUCUAUAUGGCCUUCGGGAUAAGAGUUGUUGCAUUGUGUUACACACUGAUAAUGUUUGUUGUUGCUGCUGAUUUGUUGGUUAUGUUGAUGUUGUCUUACUGUUACUGCUGCUUGUCAUGCUGCUACGCUCCUGCUGUCAUGCUGCUACACUCCUGCUGUCAUGCUGCUACGCUCCUGCUGUCACGCUGUUGCUACGCUGCUGUUGUCGUGUUGCUGUCUUGCUACUGUUGUCCUGUUGCUGUCUUGCUACUGUUCUCCCGCUGACCUGCUGUUGUCUUGCUGCUGUCAUAUUACUGAUAUUGUUGGUCUGCAGACACGGUUGACCUGCUGAUAAAUCUAGAGAAAUCUCUAAGACAUGUUUUUUUUGUGGUUUUUAUUAGUUUUGUGCUUGCGUGUUGUUGCAAGCCUAUGGUAUUUUUUUGGUUAGAGAUUGAAUAAUAGUUGAUAAAUCUUCGAUUCCUAUGAAAUUUGGUGGUUUACUUUUGCUA